rnacentral:rRNA from 1 species
AUACGUAGGGGGCGAGCGUUGUCCGGAAUGAUUGGGCGUAAAGGGCGCGUAGGCGGCCCGGUAAGUCUGGAGUGAAAGUCCUGUUUUUAAGAUGGGAAUUGCUUUGGAUACUGUCGGGCUUGAGUGCAGGAGAGGUAAGUGGAAUUCCCAGUGUAGCGGUGAAAUGCGUAGAGAUUGGGAGGAACACCAGUGGCGAAGGCGACUUACUGGACUGUAACUGACGCUGAGGCGCGAAAGUGUGGGGAGCAAACAGGAUUAGAUACCCUGGUAGUCCACACUGUAAACGAUGAAUGCUAGGUGUAGAGGGUAUCGACCCCUUCUGUGCCGCAGUCAACACAAUAAGCAUUCCGCCUGGGGAGUACGGCCGCAAGGUUGAAACUUAAAGGAAUUGACGGGG